rnacentral:rRNA from 1 species
CAGGUCUGUGAUGCCCUUAGAUGUCCGGGGCCGCACGCGCGCUACAAUGACGGUGUCAACGAGUUAGACCUUCUGGCCCGAAAGGGUUGGGCAAACUGGUCAAUCACCGUCGUGACAGGGAUCGGGGCUUGGAAUUGUUCCCCGUGAACGAGGAAUUCCUAGUAAGUGCAAGUCAUAAGCUUGCGCUGAUUACGUCCCUGCCCUUUGUACACACCGC